rnacentral:rRNA from 1 species
AACCUGCCCACUGAAUUAAUUUAAAUGGCCGCAGUAUAUUAACUGUGCAAAGGUAGCAUAAUCAUUAGUCUUUUAAUUGAAGGCUGGUAUGAAUGGUUGGACGAGAUAUUAACUGUUUCAUAAAAAUUUAUAAUAAAAUUUUAUUUUUUAGUCAAAAAGCUAAAAUUAAUUUAGAAGACGAGAAGACCCUAUAAAUCUUUAUAUUUAGGUUAUUAUAAAUUUUUAAUUAUAUUUUAUUAUAAUAAUUAAUAAUAUUUUAUUGGGGUGAUAUUAAAAUUUAAUAAACUUUUAAUUUUUAUAAUUCAUUAAUUUAUGUAUAAUUGAUCUGUUAUUAACGAUUAAAAAAAUAAGUUACUUUAGGGAUAACAGCGUAAUUUUUUUGGAGAGUUCAUAUCGAUAAAAAAGAUUGCGACCUCGAUGUUGGAUUAAGAUAUAAUUUUAGGUGUAGUCGCUUAAACUUUAAGUCUGUUCGACUUUUAAAUUCUUACAUGAUCUGAGUUCAAACCGGCGUAAGCCAGGUUGGUUUCUAUCUUUAAAAA